ensembl:snRNA LOC120095359 U6 spliceosomal RNA
GUGCUUGCUUUGCAGCACACUUACUAAAAUUGGAACAACACAGAGAGAAGAUUAGUGUGGCCCCUGAGCAAAGAAUGACACAGCUCUGAGAAGUGUUCCAUAUUUUU